UCUUUUAGAGACGUUUCCAACGAAGGAAGAGAUGAACAACUGUGUAGGAGAAUUUUUGGUGAAUUUGAUCAAGAACGAUCUUCAAAGGGAUGGUGGCGCAAUUUAAACAAUGAGGGGAAGUACAAUAAGACUAAACCCUCGUAUUAAUACAAUCACUAUAGAUCGAAAGUCAUAGAGUUCAAGCCAUAGACUCCAAUUUACCUUAGCGUUGUGGAUUUCAAGCAUGGAAGCAAUUAAAGGGUUUUAAAUGUGUAGUGAAAUGAGGCUGAAAGCUCACUUAGGAAUCUAAUUGUAAUUUUAGAAGAGAAUGUUUUUGUUACUUUUGCAUGCAUAUAUACAAUUUUGCUUGGACGCAAAUGCAAGGUAUAUGCUUUUCUUUCUCUUGAAUAGGUAGGUGAAGUUGAUCAUGUUAAAAUUUGUUGUUUAAUUUUUUUGAAUGAAGUAUAUUUAUUCUCCUACUACAAUUGUAUUUUUAAA